AUCGGGCAAGAUACAUGAUUCCCAUCAGAAGCCAACUUCUGUCAUCAUCAACAUGAGAGUGGAGGACCAAGAAAAAGAACGGGAUUGUAUAGUAUCUGAACUCUAUAAGUGGAGCUGGAAUCAGUGUUGCAGCGGUAGCCAAGAAAUAUACCAGUACCCAUGUCUUCCUCUGAUUUUUAGCCAAGAUAUUGAAGAUGGAUAUCCAUGAAUAUACAUAGAGUGGAACCAGGAGGUACUUCAUUGACCAAUGAAAUUUGAUUACUUUUCUCCAUAGAUAAAAGGUAUAGUGUCGAUUGUCAGCAACGAGAUAAGGG
rnacentral:misc_RNA from 1 species